rnacentral:tRNA from 1 species
GCGCUGGUAGCUCAGUGGCAGAGCACCACUCUUAUAAAGUGGGAGUCGAUGGUUCGAAUCCAUCCCAGCGCACUA